rnacentral:rRNA from 1 species
GGCUCAGGACGAACGCUGGCGGCGCGCCUAACACAUGCAAGUCGAACGGGACUAUUUUGGGAGAAGUUUUCGGAUGGAUCUCGGGAUAGUUUAGUGGCGGACGGGUGAGUAACACGUGAGCAACCUACCUUCGAGAGGGGAAUAACGGCUGGAAACGGUCGCUAAUACCGCAUAACAUACUGGAGGGACAUCCCUUUGGUAUCAAAGAUUUUAUCGCUCGGAGAUGGGCUCGCGUCCGAUUAGGUAGUUGGUGAGGUAACGGCUCACCAAGCCGACGAUCGGUAGCCGGACUGAGAGGUCGAACGGCCACAUUGGGACUGAGACACGGCCCAGACUCCUACGGGAGGCAGCAGUGGGGGAUAUUGCACAAUGGGGGAAACCCUGAUGCAGCGACGCCGCGUGUGGGAAGACGGUCCUCUGGAUUGUAAACCACUGUCCCCAGGGACGAAGAUGACGGUACCUGGGGAGGAAGCUCCGGCUAACUACGUGCCAGCAGCCGCGGUAAUACGUAGGGAGCGAG